AAUCCAUGAUUUGGGUAUUUUCUCAUCAUCACUUUGAACCUUUCCCAUGUUUCACCAAAGGAUUCAUCUGAUCCUUAUUUGAACAUAGAAAUAUCAAACUUUGCUU
rnacentral:snoRNA from 1 species